rnacentral:rRNA from 1 species
GAUGAAUGCUGGCGGCGUGCCUAAUACAUGCAAGUCGAGCGGUAACAGGCUUUCACUGUUUACUUCUCUCGAUUCGGAAACGAAAAGAGAAUGAGGAGUAAAGAGUGAAAGUGCUGACGAGCGGCGGACGGCUGAGUAACGCGUGGGAACAUGCCCCAAAGUGAGGGAUAAGCACCGGAAACGGUGUCUAAUACCGCAUAUGGUCUUCGGAUUAAAGGAUUUAUCCGCUUUGGGAGUGGCCUGCGUACGAUUAGAUAGUUGGUGAGGUAAUGGCUCACCAAGUCUACGAUCGUUAACUGGUUUGAGAGGAUGAUCAGUCAGACUGGAACUGAGACACGGUCCAGACUCCUACGGGAGGCAGCAGUGAGGAAUCUUCCACAAUGGGCGAAAGCCUGAUGGAGCAACUCCGCGUGCAGGAUGAAGGCCUUCGGGUCGUAAACUGCUUUUAUGAGUGAAGAAUAUGACGGUAACUCAUGAAUAAGGGUCGGCUAACUACGUG